rnacentral:lncRNA from 13 species
UUCGCCUGACAUUAACAGGUCCCGUGAGUUGCUACAGAGGAAAUCUUUCGGGGAAUGCAAAGAGGGAAGGCAGGAUCACCACAAAGGCAUUCAAAUCCAUGGGUCUAGAGAGGGUUCAUUCAAGACAGCUGAAAGACCUGGCUGAUGCCCCUGUGGGACUCCUGACACCUAUGGUGAUGAAGAGAGGCCACAGAGAACUGGAAAAAGAUCCAUAUUAUGCUCACCUUUAAGAAAGAUAAUGCUUCAGUAGCAAUCCAGACGUGCUCCAGAGAAAGGAAAAAUCCUACUUUAAAGCCUCCCACCAAAUUCUGAAUUGUAAUGAAAAGCUGGACUCCUUAGCAUCACAGGUUGAAACUGCAUGCUCCAGCAAGGUUUCAGUUAUUGCAAAUAACACUCAAAUCCUCACCUCCGUGCCAGACCAACUGACCAGAGAGAACAUCACUGCUGCUGCAAAUAUAGCAGCGCAGAUUAUGAAAAAGCCAAAUGUUCCAGAAGACUUUCAGGCAUCUGUGGCAGUCAUGGCUACAGCGAGUCAACUCUUGGAUGCCAACGAAACAGAAUUCAUCCACAGUAAUCUUGUCAAUGCUACAACCAGGUAACUUCAGCUUUUGCCAUUUUCUUUAGAUGCAGUCAACAGCAUUUCCCUUUCUGUUUAGGUUAAAAGCAGUUUGUGAACAAGUCAAAAUAUUUUUAGCUUUCAACGCCAAUGUUUAAUUUCCA